rnacentral:rRNA from 1 species
UACGUAGGGGGCUAGCGUUGUCCGGAUUUAUUGGGCGUAAAGAGCGUGUAGGCGGCCAGGUAGGUCUGCUGUGAAAACUCGAGGCUCAACCUCGAGAUGUCGGCGGAAACCAUCUGGCUAGAGUCCGGAAGAGGAGAGUGGAAUUCCUGGUGUAGCGGUGAAAUGCGCAGAUAUCAGGAGGAACACCUAUUGCGAAGGCAGCUCGCUGGGACGUUACUGACGCUGAGACGCGAAAGCGUGGGGAGCAAACAGG